rnacentral:lncRNA from 1 species
CAGACUCUUUCCUUUAAAGCACAAAGGAAGGUUUUUCUCACCUGAUGUCGUUUGCUUUAGUAAUCUCUACUGAGUUUUAUAGCCAUUCUUGACUGCCAGUCCUGCAGGUUCCAUUUGCAGGAGUUGGUCUGAAAAGCUCUCAUUCACACAUGUACUAAGAAUCUCACCAUAUACAGGGGUGUGAAGUCAGGACCAGACAGGAUGUAGGGUUAGCUGGACAGUUUAGUGUUACAGUUGUGGAGUCAUUUAUUCAAGCCUCAGCUUUUGAUACUUUUUAUUACUGUCCAGAUGCUCUUCAGGAAAGUUUUCACCUAUAUGUUGCAGUUAGAGAACUGGUGAGUUUGUUCUUUUUUUCCAGUAUGCUAGUGAAAUGAGAGUAAUUUCCUCAAUAUUUCUCUGCUGUGGCUCUUUCCUCCUGCAAUAGCAGCAAGGUGCUUAAUCACUAUUUAUGUUUCCUUCUUUUGAAACAGGUAAUAAAGUGUUGCCUUGCUAGGCGAAUGUUUGAGAAUGAUGAAUUCAGUAGUACACGAGAAGAGGUCAGAUGCUGCACUGAGUAUCUUCUGUGGGCAAGGAAAUGCUGAACUUCAGCUCAGUAUAUCACUGCUGAAGCUGUGCCUGGCCAUGGGAGAUGACAAGCAGCUGCUACCAGCCAAGCUUUAAAUCAAGAGAGAAGAAUCUUUUCCAUUACAUUCCAGUGAAUUGUGAAAGAUGGAAAUCGAAUCACUGCUUGGAAAGCUGUACUUCUACAAGGAGCUAUGUGAAGGUGCUGCUAAUUCCCCUAUUUUCUUCCAGAAAUGGGAAAAAUGAUCUAUAUUAGGAAAUGUGUUCUUCCUUUCUUCAGUAAGCUGCAUUUUCAUUUUUGGUAUCCAUAUUUAAAUCCUGAUAUACAUACACAUAUGAACGAUAUGAGUUUUACUGCUGACAGUUUUAAAUCCUACCAUGUAUCAGCUGCAUAGACAAUUUAACCCCUCCUGAGCUUCACCAGAAGACAAUACAUUUUUUUGCAGAAGAAGAGAAAGGAAUGCAGUUUCUCACAGAGAUCUCCAUCAGGAAAUAAUCCCUAUCU